rnacentral:rRNA from 1 species
UGGAACUGGAUGACCUGCAGGCAGGCAGAGGGGGAGUGGAUUCCCAUGCGUAGGCGGUUGAAUGCGUAGAUAAUUCGGAGGAUCACCCAGUGGGGAAGGGCGGGCUCUUUUGACUGUUUCUGACCGUGAAGGCGGCGAAAGCAGUGGGGAGCAAACAGGAUUAGAUUACCCCCGGUAGUCACGCCGUAACGAUGGGUGUUAGGUGUAGGAGGUAUCGACCCCCUUCUGUGCCGUAGUUAACACCACUAAGCACCCCCGCCUGGGGAGUACGGCCGCAAAGAUUGUAACUCAUACGGAAUUGAUCGGGGGCCCCGCACAAGCAGGUGGAGCAUGUGGUUUAAUUUCGACGCAACGACGAAGAACCCUCCUCAGCGCGUGGACAUCCUCUGACCGCAUAUGAAAGUAUGUUUUCUGGCUUCGGUCAGACAGAGAGACAGGUGGUGCAUGGUUGUCGUCAGCUCGUGUCGUGAGAUGUUGGGUUAAGUCCCGCAACGAGCGCAAC